GAUGAACGCUGACAGAAUGCUUAACACAUGCAAGUCGAUGGGGAAGUGGUGCUUGCACCCUGGUAACCAUGGCGGACGGGUGAGUAACACGUAAGGAACUUACCUGCGGGACCGGGAUAACAGCAGGAAACUGCUGACAAGACCGGAUAAGGUCAUUAAGCUGCAUAGCUUAGUGAUGAAAGGAGACGCCUGCGGAGAGCCUUGCGUCCUAUUAGCUAGUUGGAGGGGUAACGGCCCACCAAGGCGAAGAUAGGUAGCCGGCCUGAGAGGGUGGACGGCCACAAGGGGACUGAGAUACGGCCCUGACUCCUACGGGAGGCAGCAGUGGGGAAUAUUGGACAAUGGGGGCAACCCUGAUCCAGCAAUUCUGUGUGCACGAAGACGGUUUUCGGAUUGUAAAGUGCUUUCAGCAGGGAAGAAGGAAGUGACGGUACCUGCAGAAGAAGCGACGGCUAAAUACGUG
rnacentral:rRNA from 1 species